rnacentral:rRNA from 1 species
UACGGGGGGGGUAAGCGUUGUUCGGAAUUAUUGGGCGUAAAGAGCUUGUAGGCGGUUUGUCGCGUCUGCUGUGAAAAUCCGGGGCUCAACCCCGGACUUGCAGUGGGUACGGGCAGACUAGAGUGUGGUAGGGGAGACUGGAAUUCCUGGUGUAGCGGUGAAAUGCGCAGAUAUCAGGAGGAACACCGAUGGUGAAGGCAGGUCUCUGGGCCACUACUGACGCUGAGAAGCGAAAGCAUGGGGAGCGAACAGG